UGGAAAACCUUCGGCUCAACCGAAGAAGUGCAUCGGAAACUGGGAAACUUGAGUGCAGAAGAGGACAGUGGAACUCCAUGUGUAGCGGUGAAAUGCGUAGAUAUAUGGAAGAACACCAGUGGCGAAGGCGGCUGUCUGGUCUGUAACUGACGCUGAGGCUCGAAAGCAUGGGUAGCAAACAGGAUUAGAUACCCUGGUAGUCCAUGCCGUAAACGAUGAGUGCUAGGUGUUGGAGGGUUUCCGCCCUUCAGUGCCGCAGCUAACGCAUUAAGCACUCCGCCUGGGGAGUACGACCGCAAGGUUGAAACUCAAAGGAAUUGACGGGGGCCCGCACAAGCGGUGGAGCAUGUGGUUUAAUUCGAAGCAACGCGAAGAACCUUACCAGGUCUUGACAUCCUUUGACCACUCUAGAGAUAGAGCUUUUCCUUCGGGGACAAAGUGACAGGUGGUGCAUGGUUGUCGUCAGCUCGUGUCGUGAGAUGUUGGGUUAAGUCCCGCAACGAGCGCAACCCUUAUUUCUAGUUGCCAGCAUUUAGUUGGGCACUCUAGU
rnacentral:rRNA from 1 species